rnacentral:rRNA from 1 species
UACGGGGGGAGCAAGCGUUGUUCGGAUUUACUGGGCGUAAAGAGCUCGUAGGUGGUUUGUCGCGUUGUUCGUGAAAACUCACAGCUCAACUGUGGGCGUGCGGGCGAUACGGGCAGACUAGAGUACUGCAGGGGAGACUGGAAUUCCUGGUGUAGCGGUGGAAUGCGCAGAUAUCAGGAGGAACACCGGUGGCGAAGGCGGGUCUCUGGGCAGUAACUGACGCUGAGGAGCGAAAGCGUGGGGAGCGAACAGG